rnacentral:rRNA from 1 species
AUUGAACGCUGGCGGCAGGCUUAACACAUGCAAGUCGAGCGGAAACGAUGGGAGCUUGCUCCCAGGCGUCGAGCGGCGGACGGGUGAGUAACACUUAGGAAUCUACCUAGUAGUGGGGGAUAGCUCGGGGAAACUCGAAUUAAUACCGCAUACGUCCUACGGGAGAAAGGGGGCAACUUGUUGCUCUCGCUAUUAGAUGAGCCUAAGUCGGAUUAGCUAGUUGGUGGGGUAAAGGCCUACCAAGGCGACGAUCUGUAGCUGGUCUGAGAGGAUGAUCAGCCACACCGGGACUGAGACACGGCCCGGACUCCUACGGGAGGCAGCAGUGGGGAAUAUUGGACAAUGGGGGCAACCCUGAUCCAGCCAUGCCGCGUGUGUGAAGAAGGCCUUUUGGUUGUAAAGCACUUUAAGCAGUGAAGAAGACCUAACGGUUAAUACCCGUUAGCGAUGACAUUAGCUGCAGAAUAAGCACCGGCUAACUCUGUGCCAGCAGCCGCGGUAAUACAGAGGGUGCAAGCGUUAAUCGGAAUUACUGGGCGUAAAGCGAGCGUAGGUGGCUUGAUAAGUCAGAUGUGAAAUCCCCGGGCUUAACCUGGGAACUGCAUCUGAUACUGUUAGGCUAGAAUAGGUGAGAGGAAGGUAGAAUUCCAGGUGUAGCGGUGAAAUGCGUAGAGAUCUGGAGGAAUACCGAUGGCGAAGGCAGCCUUCUGGCAUCAUAUUGACACUGAGGUUCGAAAGCGUGGGUAGCAAACAGG